rnacentral:rRNA from 1 species
AUUGAACGCUGGCGGCAUGCCUUACACAUGCAAGUCGAACGGUAACAGGUCUUCGGACGCUGACGAGUGGCGAACGGGUGAGUAAUACAUCGGAACGUGCCCAGUCGUGGGGGAUAACUACUCGAAAGAGUAGCUAAUACCGCAUACGAUCUGAGGAUGAAAACGGGGGACGUUCGGGACUCGCGCGAUUGGAGAGGCCGAUGGCAGAUUAGGUAGUUGGUGGGAUAAAAGCUUACCAAGCCGACGAUCUGUAGCUGGUCUGAGAGGACGACCAGCCACACUGGGACUGAGACACGGCCCAGACUCCUACGGGAGGCAGCAGUGGGGAAUUUUGGACAAUGGGCGAAAGCCUGAUCCAGCAAUGCCGCGUGCAGGAUGAAGGCCUUCGGGUUGUAAACUGCUUUUGUACGGAACGAAAAAGCUUCUCCUAAUACGAGAGGCCCAUGACGGUACCGUAAGAAUAAGCACCGGCUAACUACGUGCCAGCCGCCGCAGUAAAAC